GAAAUUGGAUUUAUUAGUAAUUAGGUUUUAUUAUUACUUAGUGGAGUGUGGAAUAACAUGUGUACAUAUUGCCCGUCGCUCUCAAGUUUUAGAGAUAAGUCGUAACAUAGUUGAUUUACUGGAAAGUGAAUCUUUUUGU
rnacentral:rRNA from 1 species